rnacentral:rRNA from 1 species
GACGAACGCUGGCGGCGUGCUUAACACAUGCAAGUCGAACGGAAAGGCCCUGCUUUUGUGGUGUGCUCGAUUGGCGAUCGGGUGCGUAACACGUGUGUAACCUGCCCUUGUCUUUCGGAUAACUUCAGGUAACUGGGGCUACUACCGUAUAGGAUCUCCUGCUGCAUGGUGGGCGUUGGAUCGUUUCGGCGGUUGGGGAUGUACUCGCGGCUUAUCCGUUUGUUUGUGGGGUAGUGGCUUACCAAGGCUUUGACGGGUAGCCGACAUGUGAGGGUGACCGGCGACAAUGGGACUGAGAGACGGCCCAGACUGCAACGGGAGGCAACAGUGGGGAAUAUUGCACAAUGGGCGGAAGCCUGAUGCAGCAACGCCGCGGGCGGGAUGACGGCCUUCGGGGUGAAAAACGCAUUCGCCUGUGACGAAGCGUGAGUGACGGUAAUGGGUAAAGAAGCACCGGCUAACUACGUG